UGCCCAGGCCUAUGGUGGCCCAAGAGGAGGAUGAGCAGAUGGCUCCGGGGGGCACAGUGCUAAGAAGUAGAAGAUGAGCAGACAGUUACUGGGAGCACAGUGCUAAGAGGAGGAUGAGCAGACGACUCCUGGGAGCACAGUGCUAAGAGGAGAGCAGCCAGUUAUUGGGAGCACAGUGCUAAGAAGAGGAGGAGCAUAUGGUUCCUGAGAGAACAGUGCUAAGAGGAUGAGCAGACAGUUACUGGGAGCACAGUGCUAAGAGGAGGAUGAGCAGCCAGUUAUUGGGAGCACAGUGCUAAGAAGAGGAGGAGCAUAUGGUCCCUGAGAGAACAGUGCUAAGAAGAAGAUGAGCAGACAGUUACUGGGAUCUCAGUGCUAAGAGGAGGAUGAGCAGAUGACUCCUGGGAGCACGGUGCUAAGAGGAGGAUGAGCAGCCAGUUAUUGGGAGCGCAGUGCUAAGAAGAGGAGGAGCAUAUGGUUCCUGGGAGCACAGUGCGAAGAAGAAGAUGAGCAGACAGUACUGGGAGCACAGUGCUAAGAGGAGGAUGAGCAGACGACUCCUGGGAGCACAGUACUAAGGGGCGAGCAGCCAGUUAUUGGGAGCACAGUGCUAAGAAGAGGAGGAGCAUAUGGUUCCUGAGAGAACAGUGCUAAGAAGAAGAUGAGCAGACAGUUACUGGGAGCACAGUGCUAAGAGGAGGAUGAGCAGAUGAGUCCUGGGAGCACAGUGCUAAGAGGAGGAUGAGCAGCCAGUUAUUGGGAGCACAGUGCUAAGAAGAGGAGGAGCAUAUGGUUCCUGGGAGCACAGUGCUAAGAAGAAGAUGAGCAGACAGUUACUGGGAGCACAGUGCUAAGAGGAGGAUGAGCAGAUGACUCCUGAGAGCACAAUACUAAGAGGCGAGCAGCCAGUUAUUGGGAGCACAGUGCUAAGAAGAGGAGGAGCACAUGGUUCCUGAGAGCACAGUGCUAAGAAGAUGAGCAGACAGUUACUGGGAGCACAGUGCUAAGAGGAGGAUGAGCAGAUGACUCCUGGGAGUACAGUGCUAAGAGGAAGAUGAGCAGACAGUUAUUGGGAGCACGGUGCUAAAGAGGAGGAGCAUAUGGUUCCUGGGAGCACGGUGCUAAGAGCAGAAUGAGCAGAUGGCUCCUGAGAGCACAGCACUAAAAGGAGGAUGAGUAGAUGACUCCUGGGAGCACAGCACUAAGAGGAGAAUGAGCAGAUGGCUUCUAGGAGCACGGAACUAAAAGGAGAUCGACCGGCGGCUCGGAGCACAACACCAAGAGAAAGAUGGGUAGACAGAUCCUGGCAGCACAGGGCUAAGAAGAGGAUGAGCAGAUGGCUCCUGGGAGCACAGUUCCUGGUUCUGUAUGGUAGCUGGGAGAAGCAGAUUAUUAAUUACACUUCAUAUGAUAAAAUCUAUUCAGAAAAACUCAGCAGAAUCUUUGUCGUCUUGAUAAGAGGUCGUCGCACGGAGAAGCGGUGUGACCUCGUGGAAAGAGCACGGGCCUGGGAGUCGGAGCACCUGGGUUCAAAACCCAGCUCCGUCACAUGUCUGCUUUGUGACCUUGGGUAAGUCGCUUCAAGGCCUCAGUUAAAAAAGUGAAAGGCAAUUGAAAGACUGUUAAUUCAUCUAGUUCUUGGAGAGGGGAGUCUCAGAUGACUGUUUCCUCUUCAGGCUCCAGAGCCACCUUCUACUAAACCCUCAGCAGAUCAACGCACCGACUGGGGCAGCAGGGAAGCAUGUCAAGAAAUUGGGGUCUGCGAAAAAGGACUAUACUUCAGCAGCUACAGAAGCCCUCUGGAAUCCGAAAGCCUUUCAUGGAGAACGUCUAUCGGCCAACAUCAUCCCUGUCUAAAAAAGGACAGCGGAGGAGGUAAACUUAUCAGGCAGCCGCAAGACGGCGGACAGAUCCAGUGACCAUCGCUUCGGCCAACAUCGAGCGAGAAAUGGCCAUCUCUGAUGUCAUUCGAAGUGUCCAUUAGACCCAGCGGGGAACGUGAAGUGCCAUCCUCCCUCUGUGGUUUCCCGGUCCAAAAUCAGCAGGCCUCUUCUCUUCGAUAACAAUAGGGAAUGUCUCUUGGCAAUCCGUAGACAUGGAUCCUGCCUCUCUCCACUCCGGAGGACAGGGAGCGUCCCCAUGGAGACACAAUAGCUUAUUUAUUUGUGUUUUUUUAAAAAUAUAAUUUCAGUUUUUUUCUCCUCUCUCUAAAGGAAGGAAGGAAGCGCUGGCUCGGAUGUUUAUUCGUUCUGUUCUGGCCAAUGUUCCCUGGGUCUUGGUCCACUGGCCGAUAAACUGGCAGGGAACUGGAGUAACAGGCUCUGCAGAGCCUGGGAAAGGUCGCGACCUCUCUCCCCCUUUUCCUUGCAUCACAGCUCUUCUAUGAUUAGCUCAGUCUGGUGGCUGGGGGACAUUCUCUCCCACUGUAUCACUCUGAGCAGGAGUCGGUUUUGACGAUUUCCUUUCUCUUCGCAAAAUAUUUUUUGGCAUUUCA